GCGGGUGUGGCGGAACUGGCAGACGCGCGAGAUUUAGGUUCUCGUGGGAUAAAACCCGUGCAGGUUCGAUUCCUGUCACCCGCA
rnacentral:tRNA from 1 species